rnacentral:tRNA from 1 species
GGAGAGAUGGCUGAGUGGCCGAAAGCGGCGGUCUUGAAAACCGUUGAGGACAUAGUCCUCCGUGAGUUCGAAUCUCACUCUCUCCGCCA